rnacentral:rRNA from 1 species
AGUGAACGCUGGCGGUAGGCCUAACACAUGCAAGUCGAACGGCAGCACAGUAAGAGCUUGCUCUUACGGGUGGCGAGUGGCGGACGGGUGAGGAAUACAUCGGAAUCUACUUUUUCGUGGGGGAUAACGUAGGGAAACUUACGCUAAUACCGCAUACGACCUACGGGUGAAAGCAGGGGAUCUUCGGACCUUGCGCGAUUGAAUGAGCCGAUGUCGGAUUAGCUAGUUGGCGGGGUAAAGGCCCACCAAGGCGACGAUCCGUAGCUGGUCUGAGAGGAUGAUCAGCCACACUGGAACUGAGACACGGUCCAGACUCCUACGGGAGGCAGCAGUGGGGAAUAUUGGACAAUGGGCGCAAGCCUGAUCCAGCCAUACCGCGUGGGCGAAGAAGGCCUUCGGGUUGUAAAGCCCUUUUGUUGGGAAAGAAAAGCAGCAGGUUAAUACCCCGCUGUUCUGACGGGACCCAAAGAAUAAGCACCGGCUAACUUCGU